rnacentral:rRNA from 1 species
CGAAUUCGCCCUUAGAGUUUGAUCCUGGCUCAGGACGAACGCUGGCGGCAUGCUUAACACAUGCAAGUCGAACGGAAAGGCCCUGCUUUUGUGGGGUGCUCGAGUGGCGAACGGGUGAGUAACACGUGAGUAACCUGCCCUUGACUUUGGGAUAACUUCAGGAAACUGGGGCUAAUACCGGAUAGGAGCUCCUGCUGCAUGGUGGGGGUUGGAAAGUUUCGGCGGUUGGGGAUGGACUCGCGGCUUAUCAGCUUGUUGGUGGGGUAGUGGCUUACCAAGGCUUUGACGGGUAGCCGGCCUGAGAGGGUGACCGGCCACAUUGGGACUGAGAUACGGCCCAGACUCCUACGGGAGGCAGCAGUGGGGAAUAUUGCACAAUGGGCGGAAGCCUGAUGCAGCAACGCCGCGUGCGGGAUGACGGCCUUCGGGUUGUAAACCGCUUUCGCCUGUGACGAAGCGUGAGUGACGGUAAUGGGUAAAGAAGCACCGGCUAACUACGUGCCAGCAGCCGCGGUGAUACGUAGGGUGCGAGCGUUGUCCGGAUUUAUUGGGCGUAAAGGGCUCGUAGGUGGUUGAUCGCGUCGGAAGUGUAAUCUUGGGGCUUAACCCUGAGCGUGCUUUCGAUACGGGUUGACUUGAGGAAGGUAGGGGAGAAUGGAAUUCCUGGUGGAGCGGUGGAAUGCGCAGAUAUCAGGAGGAACACCAGUGGCGAAGGCGGUUCUCUGGGCCUUUCCUGACGCUGAGGAGCGAAAGCGUGGGGAGCGAACAGGCUUAGAUACCCUGGUAGUCAAGGGCG